rnacentral:rRNA from 1 species
UGGGGAAUAUUGCACAAUGGACGGAAGUCUGAUGCAGCGACGCCGCGUGGGGGAUGAAGGCUUUCGGGUUGUAAACUCCUUUCAGUACAGAAGAAGCUUUAUUGUGACGGUAUGUGCAGAAGAAGCGCCGGCUAACUACGUGCCAGCAGCCGCGGUAAUACGUAGGGCGCGAGCGUUGUCCGGAAUUAUUGGGCGUAAAGAGCUCGUAGGCGGUUUGUCGCGUCUGCUGUGAAAGACCGGGGCUUAACUCCGGGGCUGCAGUGGGUACGGGCAGGCUGGAGUGCGGUAGGGGUAACCGGAAUUCCUGGUGUAGCGAUGGAAUGCGAAGAUAUCAGGAGGAACACCGAUGGCGAAGGCAGGUUACUGGGCCGUUACUGACGCUGAGGAGCGAAAGCAUGGGGAGCGAACAGG